rnacentral:sRNA from 1 species
UAACUUGUUUACCUCCUGUUAAUCUUUCCAAAUUAUAAAUUUAUACAUCCAGUCAUCUGGAUACGAGUGGCUCCUGUCCACUCUGUUUGACGCCUCCCUGUUAAUGACUCAGAGCCGCAUUCCAGCGGCUCUUUUUUU